rnacentral:rRNA from 1 species
GACGAACGCUGGCGGCGUGCUUAACACAUGCCAGUCGAACGGAAAGGCCUCUUUCGGGGGGUACUCGAGUGGCGAACGGGUGAGUAACACGUGAGUAACCUGCCCUUGACUUUGGGAUAACUUCAGGAAACUGGGGCUAAUACCGGAUAGGAGCUCCUGCUGCAUGGUGGGGGUUGGAAAGUUUCGGCGGUUGGGGAUGGACUCGCGGCUUAUCAGCUUGUUGGUGGGGUAGUGGCUUACCAAGGCUUUGACGGGUAGCCGGCCUGAGAGGGUGACCGGCCACAUUGGGACUGAGAUACGGCCCAGGCUCCUACGGGAGGCAGCAGUGGGGAAUAUUGCACAAUGGGUGGAAGCCUGAUGCAGCAACGCCGUGUGCGGGAUGACGGCCUUCGGGUUGUAAACCGCUUUCGCUCAUGACGAAGCUUUGUGUGACGGUAGUGGGUAAAGAAGCACCGGCUAACUACGUG